CCCCUAAAUAGGGACUGGAAUGAACGGCUACAUGAAGACUUUACUGUCUCUUGCUGCUAGUCAAUGAAACUGAUCUCCCAGUACAAAAGCUGGAAUAAUCUCACAAGACAAAAAGACCCUGUGGAGCUUUUAAACCAAGUACACCAAAAUGUUCUAUCACGGUUUUUAGUUGGGGCGACUUCGGAACAAAAUAAAACUUCCGAAACCAUGGAAUCAUACCCAUAUCUAAGGCCAACACGCCAAGAUGAAUCAUCUACUUGACCCAGUUUACCACAUACUGAUCAAUGAACCAAGUUACCCCAGGGAUAACAGCGCCAUCUUCUUUUAGAGUCCAUAUCGACAAGAAGGUUUACGACCUCGAUGUUGGAUCAGGACACCCAAAUAGUGCAGCCGCUAUUAAAGGUUCG
rnacentral:rRNA from 1 species